rnacentral:rRNA from 1 species
CCAAUCGAACCCGGAGAUAGCUGGUUCUCCUCGAAAUAGCUUUAGGGCUAGCCUCAUGGAUCAUUGAUGGGGGUAGAGCACUGAAUGUGCGCGGGGGCCACAAAGCCUACCAAACGCUAUCAAACUACGAAUACCAUACAAUGCAGACCAUGGGAGUCAGUCCGCGAGAGAUAAGUUCCGCGGGCAAAAGGGGAACACCCCAGAUCAACCGCUAAGGUCCCCAAGUUCACGUUAAGUGGAGAAGGAUGUGGAAUUGCACAGACAACCAGGAUGUUGGCUCAGAAGCAGCCACACAUUUAAAGAGUGCGUAAUAGCUCACUGGUCGAGUGAUUGUGCGCCGAAGAUGUCCGGGGCUAAACGUGACACCGAAGCGAUGGGUGCAUCUGAAAGGAUGCGCGGUAGAGGAGCAAUGUGCAGAGGCAGAAGCCGUAUCGAGAGGCACGGUGGACACUGCACAAGAGAGAAUGCCGGUAUGAGUAGCGAGAGGCAUGCGAGAAACAUGCCCGUCGAAAGCCCAAGGUUUCCUGGGGAAGGUUCAUCCGCCCAGGGUAAGUCGGGGCCUAAGCCGAGGACGGAAGUCGUAGGCGAUGGACAGCAGGUGUAGAUUCCUGCACUACCGAUGGAAUGAAGCAGUGACACAGAAGGAUAACUCGAGCAGGGUGAUGGUCAACCCUGUGCAAGCAUCAAGGUUGGGUUGUAGUGAAGUACGCAAUCCUAUAAGCUGAGAUGUGAUGCGGACCGAAAUUUCAGUAGGGAAGCGAGUGAGUUCACGCUGGCGAGAAAAGCUGCUAGUACAUCCAAAGGUACCCGUACCGGAAACCGACGCAGGUGGGCGAGGAGAGAAUCCUGAGACGAACGGGAGAACCCUUGUUAAGGAACUCGGCAAAAUGACCCCGUAACUUCGGGAUAAGGGGUGCCUGCGAGAGCAGGCCGCAGAGAAUAGUCACAAGCGACUGUUUAGCAAAAACACAGGUAUCUGCGAAAGCGAGAGCUGACGUAUAGGUGCUGACACCUGCCCGGUGCUGGAAGGUUAAGGGAACAUGUUAGAGCAAUCGAAGCAUCGAACCGAAGCCCCAGUAAACGGCGGCCGUAACUAUAACGGUCCUAAGGUAGCGAAAUUCCUUGUCGGGUAAGUUCCGACCCGCACGAAUGGUGUAACGACUUGUGAGCUGUCUCAACAGGGGGCCCGGUGAAAUUGAAGUAUGGGUGAAGAUGCCCAUUACCCGCGACUGGACGGAGAGACCCCGUAGAGCUUUACUGCAGCCUGAUAUUGAGUUUCGGUAACUGAUGCACAGGAUAGGUGGGAGUCUGAGAGACAUGGGUUUCGGCUCGUGUGGAGACGCUGUUGGGAUACCACUCUUCGGUUACUGAAAUUCUAACAUAGCUCUGUGAAACCAGAGGAUGGACAGUGUCAGGUGGACAGUUUGACUGGGGCGGUCGCCUCCGAAAGAGUAACGGAGGCGCCCAAAGGUACCCUCAGAAUGGAUGGAAACCAUUCGAAGAGCGCAAAGGCAGAAGGGUGCCUGACUGCGAGAGUGACAACUCGAGCAGAGACGAAAGUCGGGCUUAGUGAUCCGGCGGUAUUGAGUGGAAAAGCCGUCGCUUAACGGAUAAAAGCUACCUCGGGGAUAACAGGCUGAUCUCCCCCAAGAGUCCACAUCGACGGGGAGGUUUGGCACCUCGAUGUCGGCUCGUCGCAUCCUGGGGCUGAAGCAGGUCCCAAGGGUUUGGCUGUUCGCCAAUUAAAGCGGCACGCGAGCUGGGUUCAGAACGUCGUGAGACAGUUCGGUCCCUAUCCAUCGUGGGCGUAGGAGUCAUGAGAGGAGCUGUUCCUAGUACGAGAGGACCGGAAUGGACGCACCACUGGUGCAACUGUUGUCGUGCCAACGGCAUAGCAGGGAAGCGAAGUGCGGAUGGGAUAAACGCUGAAGGCAUCUAAGCGUGAAGCCCACCUCAAGAAUAAGACUCCACAAUAGACCCCUGGAGGACUACCAGGUAGAUAGGUCAUCGGUGGAAGCGCUGUAAGGCGUGUAGCUUGAUGAUACUAAUCGGUCGAAAGCUUCAUUUA